AAUGCAUAUUUCGUGAUCUCUCAAAUGUUGACUUUCCAUAAGUAGAGUGAUUUGUAUGGUUGAACUUAUCUAUAAUUUGGUUUCCUGUACGGUUGAUCAUGGGCGAAUAGAUCACUUGUAGACCUGUUUAAGGUUUUUUUUCUUAAAUAUCUCUAAGCCUAAAACAGAGCCUAGUAUUUCAGGGGAAAACUGGCUUUAGCUUCCAUUUUUAUGUUUCCAACUGAGUCAGGCCUAUUUUUCUAUUUUAUAAAUUUUUUCUUUCUUUCAUUCUAAAUCCCUUGAAGCUAUUUGUUAAAAUUUACUCAUCCUCCCUUUUCUUUUGCUAAAAUACUUGGUGUGUAACACCCCUCGUCCGACCCGAUCGCAGGGUUCGAGCUACAAAAUGUCACAUUCAUUUCUGGAGGAAUUUCAUUCAAUUAUAUAGUAACAUAAUCAUUUAAAUAUACAAUUAUAAGUUAAACACAUUUGCAUUAUGAUACAUAAUCAAAUUUGAUUCUUCAUUGAAUUUACGAAGGCUCUUUUGUUGACUUGAGCAUAAGAUUGGACCAAAUUGUAAAGUUUCAAAAUUAUAGGACCAAUUUGUAAAGUUCUGAAAUUUCGAGUCCAAUCUGCUUGGAUUUAAAUUUGUGCAAGUGUCUUAAGUAAGUUGAUUUAAUUAUAUGGUUAAGUGUUUUGUAAUUUUGCUUAAGGUCUUGUAUUCGAUUUCUGGUAUUUGCAAGUUGGGAAUAUGUUUGCUUUUUUUUUUUUCAUUUUGUGCUGUCAUUAGUAGUAGAGUUUGGAUAGUGUUUAGAUUCUUGGUGGUUGGUUGUAAUUUUAGUAUAUAGAUAGGUUGGUAAAAUCUAUUUUUUUAUUAUUUGUUUUUUUAAAAUAAAUACAAGAUAAUUCCUUAAUUUAUUUUUUUGGUCAAUACCACUCCCUUGCACAUGUUUCUUACCUUCCCACUACAAUCCAAAUUCUCCCUCUUUGCUAUCACUACUACAUGUGUUCAUUGUUUUUUUUUUUUUUUUUUUUUGUUUUCUUUGCUUUUCAAUUAGCUUUGGGGUUGGUCUUGUUCUUGCGGCAUCUGUCAAAUUAUUUGUUUCUCUUGUUAUUUUCUUUUUCUAUUUUAUUGGUUCUUUUAUCCUGUGGGCAAUUUCUUGUUCAUUGCUUAAGGGCCAUUCGGACGCUGAUCUUGUAUGGUGUCGUUGGAAAAGAACGUGUGGUGAUAGACGAUCCUCCAGCAAAUUAAGUUCUUGGAGGAGUUGCUAUAAGUUGCGGUAAACCUCCGACCUAGGAAUGGAUGGUGACUCGAGAGCUUGGGUUUCAUAAAUUCUUCAAUUAAACACUACGAACUUUUUCAUUUGUUUUGAUCAUGGACAUUUCUGGACUGUUUUGGGUUUUUAUUUUUGGUUGGACAUUUUAAUUUUUGUUUUGUUUAGUUUGUUGGGAAAAUUUUUUAUACUCACUACAUGAAGGUUUUAUUAUUUAAGGAUGCUUAACCUAAGACAAUUAAAAUGAAUCGCGGUUUUAUAUACAAAGAACUAUAAGGUUUUUCGCUGCAAGGCUAAUCAAAUUGUUCCAAAAUGUUUUAGCACGCAAGUAUUUUCAAGUGAAUUGGUUUUGUUUUUAGAUACAAAAUUAAACUAUGAUUUCGAAAAGUCACAAUGUGUUUUAAAAGAGUAAUUCAAUUGAAUUUUCCUUCCGCUAAAGUGGUUAUAAUCAGAUCAAACAUUUGGCUCUUUUUGCAUAAGUGUUAUAACCUCCAGAAUUUGAUCAUAACGUGUAUGCCGAUUGUGGGGUGUUACAGACAAUGCAAGUGGUGGCCUUGAUUUCAAUGGCUUUAGAGGGUGUUUGUGUUGCACUAUCAUUACUAGAUUUAGGGCCGUCAUUAUCAGCAACAUCACCUGUGUUUUUAGGGCUAGGAGAAGGGAGUCAAAAACUUCAUCAGUGGUAGUUGGUGAAGGAGGGGAUGAGACCUUCUCAAGAGACCCAACCUCAGAAGAGUAUUGUUUGUUGGCGCUAGGGUUGUUGCUUUUACUAGGGCUAGGGGAAGAGGAGCUUGAAGUAGAUGGCGACUUCGAAGGUGAAGAUGCCUUGGAAGGGGCUGGUGAAGGUGACGAUUCGACAGCAAAUGGCCCAAUAAGAACCAUGAAAACAAGUGAAGCAACAAAAAUAUGAUGUUGGCAUGCCAUAUUUCACUUUUGCUUUUUAAUAGUUUCUUAUUACUUGUUAUCUUUUUUAUUAAAAGAUUAAUAUAUAUAUACACAAUAUGCGUGUGUAAGAGAAGUGAUUUUCUUAUGAACU